GUUCUUAUAUUCCACAGUCUCCACGUUAAACCCGAUGGUAGGAAUAGUUGUGACGAUCUCUCCAAGCUUGAGUUUGUAGAGAAUGGUCGUCUUACCAGCAGCAUCAAGACCAACCAUCAGAAUUCUCAUCUCCUUUUUGGCAAACAGCCGACUGAAGAGCUUAGCGAAGGUGAGCCCCAUUUCUGUACGUAACGUAGAAGUUCCUCUGAGAGCUGCACAGAGGUGUAUUGAAAGGGAUGGAGAAAGCAAGAAAAAUCGAGCUUCAGAGCAACGCGUAAU
rnacentral:misc_RNA from 1 species